rnacentral:rRNA from 1 species
UCUGGCGGCAGUAGCGCGGUGGUCCCACCUGACCCCAUGCCGAACUCAGAAGUGAAACGCCGUAGCGCCGAUGGUAGUGUGGGGUCUCCCCAUGCGAGAGUAGGGAACUGCCGGAC